GUGAAUCAUCGAAUCUUUGAACGCACCUUGCGCUCCUUGGUAUUCCGAGGAGCAUGCCUGUUUGAGUCUCAUGGAAUUCUCAACCUUCGGCUUCAUUGACGAAGGCUUGGACUUGGAGGUCGUGCCGGCUCUCGUAGUCGGCUCCUCUGAAAUGCAUUAGUGCGAACGUUACCGACCGCUUCAGCGUGAUAAUUAUCUGCGUUGCUGUGGAGGGUAUUCUAGUGUUCACGCUUCUAACCGUCUUCGGACAAAUUUCUGAACUCUGAGCUCAAAUCAGGUAGGACUACCCGCUGAACUUAA
rnacentral:rRNA from 1 species